AGCGAACGCUGGCGGCAGGCCUAACACAUGCAAGUCGAACGGCAGCACAGUAAGAGUUUGCUCUUACGGGUGGCGAGUGGCGGACGGGUGACGAAUACAGCGGAUUCUACUUUUUCGUGGGGGAUAACGUAGGGCAACUUCUGCUAAUACCGCAUACCACUUACGGUUGAAAGCAGGGGUUCUUCGGACCUUGCGCGCACGAAUGAGCCGAGUUGGGAUUAGCUAGUUGGCGGGGUAAAGGCCCACCAAGGCGACGAUCCGUAGCUGGUCUGCAAGGAUGAUCAGCAACACUGGAACUGAGACACGGUCCAGACCCCUCGGGAGGGCGGCGGUGGGGAAUAUUGGACAAGGGGGGAAGGCCGAAUCCAGCAAUACCGCGUAGGGAAGGAAGGCCUUCGGGUGGUAAAGCCCUUUUGUUGGGAAGGACGAGCAGCAGGGUGAUACCCCGCUGUUGUGACGGUACCCAAAGAAUAAGCACCGGCUAACUUCGUG
rnacentral:rRNA from 1 species